GUAAAUAUAGUUUAACAAAAACAUUAGAUUGUGAAUCUAAUAAUAGAAGUUAAUAGCUUCUUAUUUACC
rnacentral:tRNA from 1 species